GGCAUCUUUAGCAUUGACUUGGUUAUUCCGGCGUCGUUCUCAGACGUCCAUGGCGGCAGAAGUUUCAUGCCUCUAACUCAAUUCACAUUUCUCCCCCCUCAUCUUUGUCUUUCCCAGCCAUUGAACCUUGUUUCGUCGCCUACGUCUGGUUGACGAGUUCCACCGCACAAGCCUUCAUUUCGAAGUUAUUCCAAAAUUUCCCUUUCUUUUCAAAUUUGAUGGCGACAGAUACAUACAGUGAAGCGUGUUUUUCUGUCUGAGAGCGUAAGGGAAGAAGGAUUUUACCUAAUAUUGUAUUUAUCAUCGACGAAUUUGGAUUCCCAUUCUUUUUAUCAGCAGCGUCAUAAGUGGUUGGGUUACUUAUGGCUGCUUUGAUUCGUGUGGCGUGAUCUCUCUCUUGGUUAUGAAGUUCGGCAGUGUUUAUCCCUUUCCUUCUUCUAGCUUAUUGCAAUACUCAUGGCGUUACUGGCUUAAUCAAGUAUCUUCAGUUUAAGCAGGAGUUAGAGCGUGGUUUACAUGAGGAGAUGCGAUAGUUCUCGACAGCUUUAUCCUUUAAUCAGUUUCCAGAUAGGGGAUUUGCAGUCAUAUCUUUCGGAUCUUAGCCUUUUCUUGGCCCCCGAUAGUAAGACGUUUUAUGUAUUGGUGGAUAAUAGGCCAUGGCUGGAAGAUUUGGCAUCUAGGCCUGCGCACCUAUGGCAGCUGAUGGUUACCAAGUCAAGGAUGUCCCCUUUUGCAAACACAAGAGGGAAAAAAGGGAGGAAGGGGAGGAAAGAGACUGCAGAGUUCAUUGACCAGAAGGUCCGUUCUAAAGCUUCAAGCCGGUCCGAAAACUUGAAAAAAUGGUUCUCGGUUGUUAAUGCUGCAACACUAUCAAGAAAGAGGGCCUUGCUGCCUGUCAAGAAACUCAGGAGUUCCUUGCUUGCAAAUAGCAAAUUGCACAGAACCUUGUAUGGUUUCAUUGUCUUUCAAGUGACGUGGAAAGAUGUUCGUGGUAUCAAUUACUUGAAUGAGCUUCAGACUGAUACGUCUCUCGCUGUAGAGGCUAAAUACAUGAAGAGAUGGGAAUUUGAUAGCAUAGCUCAAUCAGCUAAAGGCAUAACUUCAUGGUUUCCAGGGACACCGUCUGAACGAUCUCUCUUGGAAGAGCAUCUAAAUUCUAUGUUAGGAGACAUGUUCCAUGAUGCUCCUAAAGAAUUUCCAGACUGCUGCAGCACAAAUGGCGAUGAAAAAACCUCAAAUGCUAGUGCCAGGGGGGAGAAUGCAUCUCCCUGCAAUCCUUGUAGCAAUCUUGGUGAGCAACUAGAAAGUUUAGAAGACCAAACAAGUAUACUACAAACACCUCCUCCCACUGGACCCUAUAAGAGAAGGAAACUGAUGAAUCCUGAGGGCGUUGAUGUUGAGGCCAAUUUUUAUACUGAAGUAGCUCAUGGUGGAGCUGUUUGCACACAAAUGCCCUCCUCCUACGCAAGUGAUUGUGAUGAAACAGCGGAAGCUACCGAGUACAGGGAUGUGUUACUUUUGUUCCGGUUCAACGACCGUGACCUCCCUUUUGACUUGAAAGAAAUAAUAGUAUCUGAUUUGAGAUUACUUACUCUAUUAGAGGCUGGACUUCCCUCUUGGGUGAUUUUCUUUCAGUCUUACCCUGUAUUUUGUCAUAUCUAUCGUCCAUGGAUGUGUCCUCUAGCAAGAGCUCUAUAUGUGGUAAUUUCCAUUGUUACGGUUGUCAUUGGUUUCUAUGAUUUGUACAAAAAUGUCCCAGUUCUUAAGGCAACUGCUUCCCGUUUAUGUGGGCCACUUUUUGAUUGGAUAGAAACAUGGGAGAUGGUAUCAAGGAUCAAAUACUUGGGAACUAUGCUGUUUCUGCACAACUCUGAGAAGGCUGUUAUGUGGUUCUUGAUGAUGACUCGCACUGUGCGAUCAUUUGUUUCAAUUAUCACACAACCUUUAGCUGGGCCAUUUCUGGAUUUUCUAGAGGUUCUCCUUCCCUUUUGGAACUUAUUUGUCCAGAUCGCACAGUAUUUUGGCUCGUUCAUUUGGAUUCUGAUGGAAACUUCUUGGGACCUAGUGGAGAAUCUAACUGAGGUCAUACUGGUUCCUGUGUGGUUCACUUUGUCAGUUAUCUGGACGAUUGUAACAACAGUUAUGUAUCCUAUAUUUUGGUUCCUUUGGGGGAUACUCUAUGCUCCAAUUCGUCUCAUUCUAGGUCUAUCCGACUUUGUGGGAUAUGUCUAUAACAACAUCUAUGACUUAGUUGGAGACAUAUGGCUGUUUGUGAGUGGCAUCUUCAAGUUAGCUUCAAAUGCUGAGGCAACUGUGAACACUUAUGAGGUUUCUAUCUGGCGUUCUCUUUGGAAUGACCUCUUCUCCCAGGUUUUCCGUGCUCUUCGGAGUAUCUUAAACGGCUUUGUUGCAUUCUUUACAGCUUGCAAUAGACAUCGAUUAAGCAUAUACAACCACUUACAUGAGUUCACUCGAACAAUUAAUCAGCCAUCCCAGAGGUCACAGCUCUUGACUCCUAGCCAUGGAUCACAGGGAUCUGGAAGUCGGAUAUCAGCGGAAGCCGUGGAACGAAAGCAGCUGCGAAGGAGAAAUUCAAAAAAGAGUUGACACGCAAUUUGCAAGGCAUAUUUUCAGUAUAUAGAUGGAUCACUCACUAACCAACCAAGAAUUCGUAUAGAAACACUAUGUCCAUAGCCUGAAUAUGUAUAGGUUUCAAUGAAUCCAGAAGAAUGUGGGUUUGAAGUUUCUCUUUAUCAACGCUCGGAAGAAAUGGUAAGAGAAUCUUAUGGGCCGUUUAUCAAAUGCUUACCAGGUAAACGUUUGCCGCCAAUAGUCACCACCUUCACUUACUAUAUCGAAUAACAUUCUCGGCCAUCAAAACGGAUUGGUGGUAAGCGCUUACUGGGAAAGAGUCUUUUCCCUCAACUACCGAGUAAUGUUUUCGGUCAUUGCUAUUUCUUUCACUUGGUUAGAUUCUUGGUCCUUGGCUUUAGUGAGGAAUUCGAAUUCCACACAGAUAGAACGUAAAUUCCUUGAGUUUUAGUAAAAAACUUCAAUUUCUUCGUACCAUAUUUUAAGAAAAAGUUAUCAUACUCUUG